AUGGUGAGGAAGCCGACAAGGAAGUGGGCAGGAAUGAAUCCCUGGCCUCAGCCUGGCUCUGAAGUGUCAGGAGCUAAUAGAUUACCUUCUGCUUGUUCUCAGGCCACUGCUGACUACUCACUGGCUAUAUUGCCAUCCCCUUUUUCAAAUAAUGUGCUCUUCAGGCAACUCCAGAUGCUCUACUCUUUCUUCUCCUAUAUCAGAAGACAGCAGCUUCCCUCCAGAUGCCUUCCAUCUUCCCAGGAAACUGCUAGUUGCAGGAAACCCUACUUAGUGCUGGGUCAAGGCAGGAGAGGGUAAUGAAUGGAAGAGUUGGGUGUCUGCCUUGCCCUGAAGUUUAUAUUCUAGCAGAAUGUAAUUAUUUUACCACAACAAGAAUAUUGAUAUAACAACUACCAUUGACCACUUACCUAGUUCAGGUGCUGGACUAAACUCUCCACCCCGCCAUCUCCUA
rnacentral:lncRNA from 1 species